rnacentral:rRNA from 1 species
UUAAGAUGAGAGUUUGAUCCUGGCUCAGGACGAACGCUGGCGGCGUGCCUAAUACAUGCAAGUCGAACGCGUCUCCGUUGAUGAUUUUAGGUGCUUGCACUUGAAAGAUUUAACAUUGAGACGAGUGGCGAACUGGUGAGUAACACGUGGGUAACCUGCCCUUGAAGUAGGGGAUAACACUU